rnacentral:rRNA from 1 species
UAAAUGGAGAGUUUGAUCCUGGCUCAGGACGAACGCUGGCGGCGUGCUUAACACAUGCAAGUCGAACGAUUUGGUGGUGGGUCGUUAGUGGUUAGUGGUUGGGAUAGAAGGAAUUCGCCAAAGGCGAAUUCCAACAAGCAAUCCAACGACCAAUCACCAACGACUUACUACCAAAUAGUGGCGGACGGGUGAGUAACGCGUGGAUAACCUGCCUGACAGACCGGGACAACACCGGGAAACUGGUGCUAAUACCGGAUACGCUCAUAUAGACACAUGUAGAUAUGAGGAAAGGGGAAACCCGCUGACAGAUGGGUCCGCGUCCCAUUAGCUAGUUGGCGGUGUAAUAGACCACCAAGGCGACGAUGGGUAGCCGGCCUGAGAGGGUGGACGGCCACACUGGAACUGAGACACGGUCCA